GUCCCUUAGCCGUUCACCUAGUCCCAAUACCACAAUUGCCUCCAGCUUUUGUGUGUCGCCUUAUAAUUCUCCCACAGGUCUCGCCCUUAGCUCUUUAGUCCCGACUGCCUCCUCAACUCCACCCCACAUCUCUGUUAGCUCCUCACCUCAGCUCGUCUCUGUUAGCUCCAUAUUGAUGGGUUUUUGGCGCUUUACCGAUGUCCUACCUUUUACCUCACACCUCAUUCUGACCUCUCAUUCCCCUUCGCCUUCUUGCUAUUGCACAAGAUCCUCCUCUGCCAAUUCUAUCUGCUGCCAUAGCAUUGCAGUUGCAUUUGCACCCGCUACUUCCUUACCAUUCCUAGUCUUUUUUGUUCCCUCUCUUUUCAGUAAGCCCAUUUCUACUUUUUCCCUUUGCCGCACCAUGCCCUUGAUGAACAAGUGUUUAGUUAGAUUAUACUUUCUCCAAAAGCAUUACCUCUCGAUGUUGCAGCUCCUCUGCUUUACGCUAGGAUCACAGUGGACAGCCCUUUCAGAUAUUUUGGUCUCGACAAGCCUAGCCUUCAUGUGGGUGUGGUCAGUCUCGGUGGCCUCAGCCGUAUGGCAUUCAAGAUAGCCAAAGGUUUUGGAGCAAAGGUUAGUGUCAUAAGUACUUCUCCUAACAAGAAGGAAGCCGUUGAACAUCUAGGAGCUGAUUCCUUUAUUAUUAGUCGGGAUCAUGACCAGAUGCAGGUAGUUAAUUUUCGUCACAAGUACUGUUGCUCUUAUAUAUAUUUAUAUAUGUUAUAUAUACAUACACAUAUACACUUAUUGUUUAGUUCAUUGGAAGUUUUAGUAAGCUGAACAGCUUAUUGUUUAGUUCUGGGAAUAACCUAACCAGGUAUGGCACCUCUGCUCAGUGUUUUCCUUUAGUAGUUCCAAUUACACUUGGAAAUAAGAAAUAUACUAGGUCAACAUAGCUAAGCAAAAUCCUCAUUGUCCCUCUAUGAGGUAUUUAAGAGGAUCAUUCUUUUAGAGUUUACACCAAAACUCAUAGAUCCAAAAGCCUUGUGUGGAUCAAAAGAAUUUUAGUUUCCUAUAUGCCUCCAAAAAGGCAAGGUAUAUAUAUUUGUGAUUAUCCAUCAACAUCCUCUAACAUAUAUAUUCUUGAGAAAUGAAAUUUCUGCUUUCUAUACUAAAUGGCAAUAAUACUAAAAAAUGGCUGGGUCCAGUGUGAAAUGAAUGAUUUUUAUAUAAUCAGGAAGAUUCAUGGGGACAGCAUCAUCAUGAUGCAGGAAAUAUAUGAUAAAUAUUAAUGAGUUUUUUUUAUCUUGAAUUCCUUUUUUCUUGGGUUCUUUUUGCUUAGCACCUUUGGGACCCAUUCUUUGUGAUCCUUUCUUGCUGCAAACAUUUUUUUUUUGUGUAUUUUGGGCAUGCGUUUUUUUAUAAUAACAUUUUAAACUACCCUGAUGAACAUUAAAAUUCUUUUCAAAAUCCUGCCCUUUGGUGUUGGAAGUUUAUGCUACGUUUGUAGUUUGCUUUCAUGUACUUUUGAUUCAAUUUAUUUUAUUACGAGUCUUGACAUUAGUUUGUCACAUGAGAGGGGAGGCAGGGUAAACUUAGCAAAGUUGGGCAGCCAGGUUUACAAAACCCCUGACGAUGCUCCAAUCUUGGUCUCGCCUUCGUCUGUAUCAAAUGGAAAGAAGUUCUGUAGCCGCCAUAAGGCAAAAGAAUAAAAAAAAAAAAAAAAAGCAUGAGAGUUCUGUUCGAACACUGAAGAGAAGACUUGCGGAUUACUUGCUGGAGAUGAAGGGCUGGAGAUUAAGAAAAUAAAGAAGAAAAGGUCCACUGGUGCUGUGCAUAAUAGAGUUGUUGAAAAGGGGAGUGCAUAACAGAGUUGCGACUCUUUGGGAUUUAAAACGAAUUGGUCCUCCAAAGGGGAGUGCUGAUUUGGAUAUUUGGUUUUAUGGUUCUCAAGGUUUCGGGUAGUUUGGUUUAUUUUCAAAUUACAAGAUAUAUAUAUAUAUAUAGGGGUAAUUUUUAUUAAUGCUGAAAACUGCUAGCUAUGAUUAUAUACUUAAUGAUGAAAUAUCUCUUUCCACAAUAAGGGUGAUAUCUUUUCACUAUUCCAAAGAUUCUCAUUAUGCAUGGAACGAUAUUGAUACUAGCACUAUUAUUGGCUUAUUCCAUUGGUUCAAUCCAUGUUAUUCUCCUCUUGCUUCUAUUCAAAGCAUUACCAUAUUUUUAGCUAAAUAGAAUGUUCAAAAUGUGCUUCUCCUCCCUUCCAAUUAAGUAGAGCUGGAUUUAGUGGUUAUUGCAUGUUGUGUUUUAUUUAAUAUGCACUAGGGACUUUUUUGACUAACUUCUUUUUGUGAUAUUAUUAGCAUAUGUUUAAUAUUUUUUUAACUAUGCGUAUUUGAUAAAUAGAUCUUUAUUUCAUUAUUGAAGGUUACCAAAUAAAGUUGACAAGAAGAAAAAUGAAAUCAAGUGGGUGCAUAUUCAAGUUAAUCUUUUGUGCCACAACCAACUCUCAUCAUUCACAGAGAUGAGACAUUUUGUGUUCAGUGAGUCAUCAUCACAAAAAUUUAUUGAAUAUAUAUUCUGAACUCUUUUUCCUUCUAGGAUGGUUUUUCCUAUUUAUUCAUCUCUCACAAUGCAAUACACAACAUUAAAAAUAACCUCAUAACCUUUGUCACAUAAUUGACUUAUGCUUAAAAGGUUAUGUACUAAACCAUCAACUAAAUAAAUAUUAUCAAUACAAGGAGAAUUAGAUGCAUUCCUACCAACUUUACCUAUAUCGAGAAUUCUUCCCUUUUCAUUAUUUUCAAAGGUGACAAUUCCACCAUCUUUGUUUUCCACCAUAUAUAAGAAUAUGGAGCUAUCAAGUCAUGUGCUUGGAGCAGCCACUAUAAAGAUACCACUUUUCAUUUGUGGCUCUCCUUGAUACCUGCAGAAAUUUCAUGUUUUCCUAGGUAUCCAAAUUUAUUUGGGUCCUAAUAGGUUAGUAGACCUCUUUAGAACCCACUUCAUAUUUUUGCUCAACCCUUCCUAUGGAUACAUGACUUAGUCUUGUGCCCUUUCUUGUUGCAGUAGGAACAAGUGGAUUGAGGAGAGUUAUUCAUAGCAGUAAGAACAAAGAAGUUCAUGUAAUAUUUUUUUCUUCUUAUUUAGUUUACAGCCUAUGCCAGUUUUAUCAAAAACACUUCUUUGUUGACUUAAAAUUUUGUUUAAAUUAUCUCUACCCUUAAUAAAUUUUGCAAGUGUAUAUUUUAGAUCUUCUUUUUCAGAUAUAUAAAGAGAACAAUUAGUACAUGAGGUUUCCUUUUCCAAAAUAGUACUAUUCUUUUUCAAAGUAUUAUUCUUAGAUUUGAGAGACAAGUUUUAUUUUUCAGAAAUAGGAAGUUCCUUUUUAACUUGCGAAAGAUUUUUCAUAAGAAGAAAAGAUUCAUUGUGCAAUUCUUUAAAAGUAAUUUUUAGUUCUUCAAAUGUAAAAUCAAAUUCAAAGUCAGAAUCUGAAUCAUUUACCUAAUCAAAAUGGCUUUUGGCCAUUAGACACAAGUUUUCUUCUUCUUUUUUUAUAGACUCCUCAUUACUGUGAUUGUAGAUUGAAGAGAGAUAAGCUUUGAAUUUCUUUUUGUCAUACUUGUAGCUUUUACUUUCUUGCUUCAGAGGGCAUUUAGCCUUAAUGUGUCCAGGCAUCAAUGUAAUGCCCUCAUUGACAUUACCAUAUACUCCAUUAUAAAAUUUCUAAUCACUUUGAAAUAAUUUAAGUUGAAAAUACUGAAAACAUUGGGAUCCCAAUAAAAUAUUUAUAAAAAUAUCAUUUCGUAACUCAUUCAGUUUAUAAAACCUUAACACACAAAUACAUACACAGCGGAAGCAACAAGUAUUCAGGUACUGAAUAUCAAAAGAAACAUGUGCAUACAAAAAAUAAAGUGAAAUUUUGCACCAUAGACCAUGGCAUAUGGCACAGAGGCCAUAGUCACUCACUCUAUGCCAUACGCCGAGGCUGUGAGUACAUGCAUUGUGGCGCACACACCUAAAUUUGCUAUCAAAUGGCUGUUUCUCAUAUGAAAUUCAAAUGCACACCAUUUUCACAUGCGAUGUCCGAUUGUGAUGGUUCAAAUGCCCACACGAAACUUGUUAUGAAAUCUAACUAAUGACACUAGUUUCAACUCAAUCUGAUAUUUUAAUUAAAAAUUGAAUACCUAAGUGCAUUUUGACCAAUUUCUAUCAAAAUGUUGCUACUUAAGUGUCUUAAUUCGAAACCAAUUGUCAUUAGCCACUUUUUAGGCCUUAACUAACUCCAAAUGGAUAAUACACACCUAAUUGACCAUACACAUGCACAAUAUAUCACGCAUACACAUAUUUGGCCUAUAAACUGCCCAUUUCAUACUUUAGGCCAAAAUCAUAUUUUCACUUCUUUAAUUCCAUACAAGGCCAAUUCAUCACAUAUAAUCUCUACACAUCUCGUAUUUACACACAAUUACAUUCAUCCACUAGCCCAACUAGUCAUUUCAUUAUUCACACAUGUACAAGGGCUACGAAGCUUAAAAUCACAAAAUACAAUAUUUACCAUAAUAUGCAGAUGCUUAAGUCCUAAAGCAACUUAUACAUACUUUUGGCUAACAAUUUACAAACUAUCACACCAUAUCUUUUAAAGAUUUAGGUGAGAGAUAUCAACUCAGCCUAUAUCCUUUCUGUAACAUCCUGAAAUUUUAAGACUCAAAUUUAUUUUAAAAAUAAAAUAAAAUAUUUAUAAUUAAAUUAAAAUUUAGAAUAAUUUGAUAGAGGUCCAGAGUUUAAAUUUUUCUCAGCAAAAGUUUGGUUUUAUUGGAUUUUUAACUAUGAAAAAAUUACCAAAGUUAACCCAAGCUUUUGUGCUAUAAAAAAAAUGUUGGGCCCUUUCUUGUAAUUUGCCCUAAAGUGUUAGAUCAGUAUUUUAAUGUGCAAAAUGAAUGCAAAAAUGAAAUGGAACAAAGAAAAAGGAAAGAAACAAACGGGAGAGAGGAAGAAGAGAGGAGAAAGAGAGGGAGUUAGGCUUGGAUCUAGAAGGCUUUGCAAUCGUUGCGAGCUCGACUACACAAUAGAAAAUUAUUGGUGGAACUUAUUGAGAAGUUAAGGAACAAGCCAAGUCCUAUUUUGUGUAAGAGGAACCCUUUUGGUCCUAAAGGGUUAAGGUCCAGGCAAAGGAACCAAUAGAGGAUGGGGAAAGGAACAUAGCUAGGGGUUGUUUGUGAAUUGUAAAGAACUACAAUCCCUUUCUUUUGAGAAAAUCUAUUGUAAUGUAUUUAGAAUUAGGGUGCCAGUAGGAUGUGAUUAUAUAUAUGUGGAGAUUGUAUGGCUUGUGUAUGAAUUUUUAUUUGCUUGUAGACUUGUGGCUAGGAAACUUGGCUAUGGUGUGUGGUUUUGAUGGAUUUAUUUAGUAGACCAAGUUUUCACUACAAGAAAAUAUUUAUUUUGGUAUAUAUGUGAUUCCACAAGCAAAUGCAAAGUGGUUGCAUUGCAAAUGGUGUGCUACGGACAAACAUACACCUUGGAUAGAGAGAGUGGUGCGUGGGCCCCACAGAGAUCUCUGAGCUAAGUGAAAAUAUUUAGCGUGUGUAUUCAUAUGUGUAUAUGAUAUUUGGAAUAGUUUUUGGCCA